GAAGCAGAAGUUUUCGGACGGAAGCGGAACGAUAUGUUCUAGCGGCGGACGGGUGAGUAACGCGUGAGCAACCUGUCCCUUACAGGGGGAUAACACAGCGAAAGUUGUACUAAUACCGCAUAAGACCACAGAGUCACAUGGCUUAGGGGUCAAAGGAGCAAUCCGGUAAGGGGUGGGCUCGCGUCCGAUUAGAUAGUUGGUGAGGUAACGGCCCACCAAGUCGACGAUCGGUAGCCGACCUGAGAGGGUGAUCGGCCACAUUGGGACUGAGACACGGCCCAAACUCCUACGGGAGGCAGCAGUGGGGAAUAUUGGGCAAUGGGGGAAACCCUGACCCAGCAACGCCGCGUGAGGGAAGAAGGUUUUCGGAUCGUAAACCUCUGUCCUAGGUGAAGAGAAAGAGACGGUAGCCUAGGAGGAAGCCCCGGCUAACUACGUGCCAGCAGCCGCGGUAAUACGUAGGGGGCGAGCGUUGUCCGGAAUGAUUGGGCGUAAAGGGCGCGUAGGCGGCCCGGUAAGUCUGAAGUGAAAGUCCUGCGUUCAACGUGGGAAUUGCUUUGGAUACUGUCGGGCUUGAGUGCAGGAGAGGUAAGUGGAAUUCCCAGUGUAGCGGUGAAAUGCGUAGAGAUUGGGAGGAACACCAGUGGCGAAGGCGACUUACUGGACUGUAACUGACGCUGAGGCGCGAAAGUGUGGGGAGCAAACAGGAUUAGAUACCCUGGUAGUCCACACUGUAAACGAUGAAUGCUAGGUGUAGGGGGUAUCGACCCCUUCUGUGCCGCAGUUAACACAAUAAGCAUUCCGCCUGGGGAGUACGGCCGCAAGGUUGAAACUCAAAGGAAUUGACGGGGGCCC
rnacentral:rRNA from 1 species